GUGCUGGCUUCAGCAGCAUGUAUACUAAAUUUGGAAUGAUACAGAGAUUAGCAUGGUCCCUGCGCAAGGAUGACAUGCAAAUCUGUGAAGUGUUCCAUAUUUUU